rnacentral:lncRNA from 1 species
UAGUAUUUGUGGUAUGAGGUAUAGUGAUAUUGUCUUCUCUCUCACCCUACUCUAAUAAGGUUUGAUAUUUGGAGCUCAUAGGUGGGAGACAGCUAAUACAUACUUACAAGACAUUUAUUGCAUAGUCAAACCAUGGAUCCAGAGAAACAAGUCAAUAAGUCAAAUCAAGAUGUGCAUGUGUGGCGAAUGAAUGGUGUAUGGUGAAAACAAUGGUGAAAACAUUGGUGAAAGUCUAAUUUCUACUUUUGCUCUUUUGAGGGGAUACAUACCUUUCUUGCACUUUGAAGCUUUUUUUUGAAAGGAGUGAGAUGCUCUAUAUUUUAUUUUUCUUUUCUCUCAGGUGGGUAUCUUGUACCCCUAUUUCUACUGUCGGACACUUGUCCAUUUUUACCUCU